GAUGAACGCUAGCGGCAGGCCUAAUACAUGCAAGUCGAACGGAAUAUAGUUUUCGGAUUAUAUUUAGUGGCGCACGGGUGAGUAACACGUACAUAACUUACCCUCAAGAGGGGGAUAGCCUUGGGAAACUGAGCGUAAUACCCCAUAGUAUUAUUGAACGGCAUCGUUUGAUAAUUAAAGCUACGGCGCUUGAGGAUAGAUGUGCGUCUGAUUAGCUAGUUGGUAAGGUAACGGCUUACCAAGGCGACGAUCAGUAGGGGGCGUGAGAGCGUGGCCCCCCACACGGGUACUGAGACACGGACCCGACUCCUACGGGAGGCAGCAGUAAGGAAUAUUGGUCAAUGCCCGGAAGGGUGAACCAGCCAUGCCGCGUGAAGGAUGACUGCCCUCUGGGUUGUAAACUUCUUUUGGAUGGGACGAAAAAACGGGAUUUAUCCUGGACUGACGGUACCAUCAGAAUAAGCACCGGCUAACUCCGUGCCCAGCAGCCGCGGUAAUGUCUGUACU
rnacentral:rRNA from 1 species